rnacentral:rRNA from 1 species
CGAGGCAGAGCGAAUCUCAAAAAGCCGUCCCAGUUCGGAUCGCAGGCUGCAACCCGCCUGCGUGAAGUUGGAAUCGCUAGUAAUCGCGGAUCAGCAUGCCGCGGUGAAUACGUUCCCGGGCCUUGUACACACCGCCCGUCACACCAUGAGAGUCGGGAACACCCGAAGUCCGUAGCCUGACCGUAAGGGGGCGCGGCCGAAGGUGGGUUCGAUAAUUGGGGUGAAGUCGUAACAAGGUACC